AGUGAACGCUGGCGGUAGGCCUAACACAUGCAAGUCGAACGGCAGCACAGUAAGAGCUUGCUCUUACGGGUGGCGAGUGGCGGACGGGUGAGGAAUACAUCGGAAUCUACUUUUUCGUGGGGGAUAACGGAGGGAAACUUACGCUAAUACCGCAUACGACCUACGGGUGAAAGCAGGGGAUCUUCGGACCUUGCGCGAUUGAAUGAGCCGAUGUCGGAUUAGCUAGUUGGCGGGGUAAAGGCCCACCAAGGCGACGAUCCGUAGCUGGCCUGAGAGGAUGAUCAGCCACACUGGAACUGAGACACGGUCCAGACUCCUACGGGAGGCAGCAGUGGGGAAUAUUGGACAAUGGGCGCAAGCCUGAUCCAGCCAUACCGCGUGGGUGAAGAAGGCCUUCGGGUUGUAAAGCCCUUUUGUUGGGAAAGAAAAGCAGCAGGUUAAUACCCCGCUGUUCUGACGGUACCCAAAGAAUAAGCACCGGCUAACUUCGUG
rnacentral:rRNA from 1 species